UUUUUUUUUGUGAAACUUGGCACUGGAAGAAUUCACAGAUAGAAAAUGAAAAAUCGUGGGUCUUUUGGUGCCAAAGUUCACGGAAUAAAU
rnacentral:pre_miRNA from 16 species